rnacentral:piRNA from 1 species
UCAACGGACCAAUAAAAAUUU